CGGGUGAGUAAUGCUUGGGAAUCUAGCUUAUGGAGGGGGAUAACUACGGGAAACUGUAGCUAAUACCGCGUAGUAUCGAGAGAUGAAAGUGUGGGACCUUCGGGCCACACGCCAUAGGAUGAGCCCAAGUGGGAUUAGGUAGUUGGUGAGGUAAAGGCUCACCAAGCCGACGAUCUCUAGCUGGUCUGAGAGGAUGACCAGCCACACUGGGACUGAGACACGGCCCAG
rnacentral:rRNA from 1 species